rnacentral:rRNA from 1 species
CCGCCUGGGGAGUACGGCCGCAAGGUUAAAACUCAAAUGAAUUGACGGGGGCCCGCACAAGCGGUGGAGCAUGUGGUUUAAUUCGAUGCAACGCGAAGAACCUUACCUACUCUUGACAUCCACGGAACUUGCCAGAGAUGGCUUGGUGCCUUCGGGAACCGUGAGACAGGUGCUGCAUGGCUGUCGUCAGCUCGUGUUGUGAAAUGUUGGGUUAAGUCCCGCAACGAGCGCAACCCUUAUCCUUUGUUGCCAGCGAUUCGGUCGGGAACUCAAAGGAGACUGCCAGUGAUAAACUGGAGGAAGGUGGGGAUGACGUCAAGUCAUCAUGGCCCUUACGAGUAGGGCUACACACGUGCUACAAUGGCAUAUACAAAGAGAAGCGACCUCGCGAGAGCAAGCGGACCUCAUAAAGUAUGUCGUAGUCCGGAUUGGAGUCUGCAACUCGACUCCAUGAAGUCGGAAUCGCUAGUAAUCGUGGAUCAGAAUGCCACGGUGAAUACGUUCCCGGGCCUUGUACACACCGCCCGUCACACCAUGGGAGUGGGUUGCAAAAGAAGUAGGUAGCUUAACCUUCGGGAGGGCGCUUACCACUUUGUGAUUCAUGACUGGGGUGAAGUCGUAACAAGGUAACCGUAGGGGAACCUGCGGUUGGAUCACCUCCUUACCUUAAAGAA